AAGGUAAUCCCAUAUGGCACAAGAAAAAUAUUUCUUUGAAAAAUGUGUUUUAAAUAUAUGCAAAAUACAUUUGUAGAAAGUAAAUCUUAAUGAAAUAUAUUUUUGAAUUUAAAAAUGCAUUUAGUUUUCACAUUCAUAUAUAAACAUAUAUUUCAAAAUGUAUUUCAUGGGCAACAAAUACAUUUCUUACAGCCAUAGGGCAUAAAAAUAUAUUUUCCUGGCCAAAAUAUAAAAGUUUGUAUGAAAUUUAAGCAUAAAAUGUAUAUGUAUAAAAUUUAAAAUUAUAAGUAUUUAUUACAGUUAAAAAUAUAUUUAAUUUGAAUGUUGUUAUGUUUAGAUACAGGUCUGUAACUUAGAAAGUUUUCUUUCAAUGCCAUGAAUAGAAAUGCUUUAAAAUAUAUGCUUUAUUUUUAAAUAUAUUAAAAAAAAAUUUUUGUAAACAUAUUUAUGUUUUAAUAUGUCAUAAAUAUAUUUCAGUACCCUUUUUUGCCCAUUUUUGUAUAUUAUUUAAAAAUAUUUUUGAAAAUAUAUUUUUGGCCAUAUGCGAUCAAUGUGCCAAAAACAUAUUAGUUAAUUUUUAUAGAGGAAGCUUCAUAUGCUAAGGAUGUUGUUAUAAUAAAUUUUUUAAAUAUUUGUAUAAAUAUUUAGUUCUUAUGUACAUAUAUGUAUUAAUAGGUCUUUAGUUGGUAUCUUACGAAAAGUUUUUAAAAUAUUUAUAUAAAAUGUAAGUUGUAGAUGUAAACCAAAGUGAACUCGUGCUGUUAACACAGGAUGGCGCUCGAUCCACUGCUGCUUUAUAUAUCAGUGAGAUUUAUCAACUCAUUUAUCUUCUUAAACUCUCUCACUUUUUCUUCAUGUUACAGCUUUUUUGUGAUGAAAUGACGAAAAUGUAAAAAAGUCACAAUUUUAGAUUUUUUAAAUUAAACGUUUAUCCGGGUCUUAAUUCGUCUUUGCGGCAGUCACGUGAUCUGUAACGUUCAGCUGUGCGCCACCUCAACUUCCCCCGCUAGAUGACUAAACGGUAAAAAAAAAAAAGAUGACUAAACGGUGGAGGUUUCAUCGUCAGUUUGUGUGUCAACAUCAAACAUUAUAAAGAAUGAUCCAGGAGAGAGCUGCUUGACACUCGCGCUCACCGCGAUCACAGAAGAAACAAACACAGCUUUAAACUCAUCAGAUCACACCAUUCAAUUGAAAAUGAAUAGAAAUGAUGGAUCUGUCUAAAGAAAUGUAAGUAAACAU